rnacentral:rRNA from 1 species
GGGUGAUGGCGUGCCUUUUGUAGAAUGAACCGGCGAGUUACGUUCCCGUGCAAGGUUAAGGUGAAGAGCUGAAGCCGCAGCGAAAGCGAGUCUGAAUAGGGCGACUUGAGUACGUGGACGUAGACCCGAAACCGGGUGAUCUACCCCUGUCCAGGGUGAAGGUGCGGUAACACGCACUGGAGGCCCGAACCCACGCAUGUUGAAAAAUGCGGGGAUGAGGUGGGGGUAGCGGAGAAAUUCCAAUCGAACCCGGAGAUAGCUGGUUCUCCCCGAAAUAGCUUUAGGGCUAGCCUCGGAAAGAAGAAUCGUGGAGGUAGAGCACUGAUUGGGUGCGGGGCCCGCAAGGGUUACCAAGCUCAGUCAAACUCCGAAUGCCAUAGAUUUAGUUCCGGGAGUCAGACAGUGAGUGCUAAGAUCCAUUGUCGAAAGGGAAACAGCCCAGACCAUCAGCUAAGGUCCCCAAGUGUGUGUUAAGUGGGAAAGGAUGUGGAGUUGCACAGACAACCAGGAUGUUGGCUUAGAAGCAGCCACCAUUGAAAGAGUGCGUAAUAGCUCACUGGUCGAGUGACUCUGCGCCGAAAAUGUAACGGGGCUAAACACACCACCGAAGCUAUGGCUUGAUGCUUGCAUCAGGGGUAGGGGAGCGUUGAAUGCGGGUUGAAGGUGUACCGGAAGGAGCGCUGGACUGCAUUCAAGUGAGAAUGCCGGUAUGAGUAACGAAAAGAUCUGUGAGAAUCAGAUCCGCCGAAAGCCUAAGGGUUCCUGAGGAAGGUUCGUCCGCUCAGGGUAAGUCGGGACCUAAGGCGAGGCCGAUAGGCGUAGUCGAAGGACAACAGGUCGAAAUUCCUGUACCACCGUAAUCCGCUAUGAGCGAUGGGGUGACGCAGUAGGGUAGUGACGCGGACUGAUGGAUGUCCGUCUAAGCAGUGAGGCUGAUGUGUAGGCAAAUCCGCACAUCGUAAGGCUGGGCUGUGAUGGGGAGCGAAAAUUAUAGUAGCGAAGGUCAUGAUCUCAGACUGCCAAGAAAAGCCUCUAGCCAGGAGAAGGUGCCCGUACCGCAAACCGACACAGGUAGGCGAGAAGAGAAUUCUAAGGCGCGCGGAAGAACUCUCGUUAAGGAACUCGGCAAAAUGACCCCGUAACUUCGGGAGAAGGGGUGCCUCGGUAGGGUGAAUAGCCCGAGGGGGCCGCAGUGAAAAGGCCCAAGCGACUGUUUAGCAAAAACACAGGUCUGUGCGAAGCCGCAAGGCGAAGUAUACGGGCUGACGCCUGCCCGGUGCUGGAAGGUUAAGGGGAGUGGUAAGCCUUCGGGCGAAGCUAUGAACCGAAGCCCCAGUAAACGGCGGCCGUAACUAUAACGGUCCUAAGGUAGCGAAAUUCCUUGUCAGGUAAAUUCUGACCCGCACGAAUGGCGUAACGACUUGGGCGCUGUCUCAACGAGAGAUCCGGUGAAAUUUUAAUACCUGUGAAGAUGCAGGUUACCCGCGACAAGACGGAAAGACCCCAUGGAGCUUUACUGCAGCUUGAUAUUGAAUUUGGGUACGAUCUGUACAGGAUAGGUGGGAGCCGUAGA